rnacentral:tRNA from 1 species
GCGCCCAUAGCUCAAUGGAUAGAGCGGCGGACUUCGGAUCCGUAGGCUGGGGGUUCAAAUCCUCUUGGGCGCAC